rnacentral:rRNA from 1 species
AUUGAACGCUGGCGGCAUGCUUUACACAUGCAAGUCGAACGGUAACAGGUUAAGCUGACGAGUGGCGAACGGGUGAGUAAUGCAUCGGAACGUGCCCGAUCGUGGGGGAUAACGCAGCGAAAGCUGCGCCAAUACCGCAUACGAUCUGAGGAUGAAAGCGGGGGACCGUAAGGCCUCGCGCGAUCGGAGCGGCCGAUGUCAGAUUAGGUAGUUGGUGGGGUAAAGGCCCACCAAGCCGACGAUCUGUAGCUGGUCUGAGAGGACGACCAGCCACGCUGGGACUGGGACACGGCCCAGACUCCUACGGGAGGCAGCAGUGGGGAAUUUUGGACAAUGGGCGAAAGCCUGAUUCAGCAAUGCCGCGUGCAGGAAGAAGGCCUUCGGGUUGUAAACUGCUUUUGUACGGAGCGAAAAGGUCCUUUCUAAUACAAGGGGCUCAUGACGGUACCGUAAGAAUAAGCACCGGCUAACUACGUGCCAGCCGCCGCGGUAACAC